rnacentral:misc_RNA from 1 species
UUUCCGUAGGUGAACCUGCGGAAGGAUCAUUAUUGUAUAACCGAGGUGCGAGGGCUGUCGCUGACCCGAAAGGUCGUGCACGCCCGAGUGCCCUCACACACAUCCAUCUCACCCCUAUGUGCACCACCGCGUGGGUCCCCCUUUGGCUUGUUCGGAGGGGGGCUUACGUUUUCACACAAACUUUGUAUGCAGUGUAGAAUGUAUUUUUUGUUUUUGCGAUCACGCAAUCAAUACAACUUUCAACAACGGAUCUCUUGGCUCUCGCAUCGAUGAAGAACGCCGC